GGCCGCCUGGCGAAAUGGCAUCGCGUCUGACUACGAUUCAUGCGUUAUCAGGAGAUUGCAGGUUCGACCCCUGCGGUGGUCA
rfam:Pleurotus ostreatus PC15 unplaced genomic scaffold scaffold_05, whole genome shotgun sequence.